GGGAUUUGUCAAUUUCGACCGGAUACCUCUCUAUACAUAAAACAUACAUCCCGGUACGGGCAGACACUCGUCGGGCAGUUCGAAUGCCAUCAUAAUGUAUUGUGUUUGCGUUCUCGAACAUCGCAAAGGACACUGCAGUCGUUUCGAGCCCGUAUCGAGAAUAAAUUACUAUACGACACCCGCAGGAACAAUAUCGGCGCCCCUCGAUUUUACUGCUGCUGCUGUUGCUGCUGCACUAUACGGCGCAUAGUAGGUAUCGAAAUAAUAGUUAACCGUAAAUGGUUUUCGGCCC